GUUGUUUUCUCAUGAAAGGGCGAAACUGGACGCCCAAACCAGCUUGUUUCCCCGCUGUAGGACAGGCAGACAGUGGUGCAGGAGCGGAUCUGUUCCGCGGACAGCAGGAUUUCUCCCGAGUUAUAUCACCCCUUCUGAACUAACUCAUGUUUUGCCCACGAGAAUAUUGACUACAAGCUCUUCCCAGUGCUUUUAUUUGUAUUUUCUCUGUGGUAAAUCAUGGAACACAACCACAGGUCAUCUCAGUGGGUCGUUUCAGAAACAAGUCUCUGACACCAAGGAUCGCAGUUUCUAACUCUAACCAUAAAAUGAAAGAGAAAAGACGACAGCAACAGCAGCAACAACAAAAACCCAAAACAGAUUUAACUGAAGCACGUCCAUACAAAAUUAUUCACACCAGCUCCAUAAAUCAAAAUUGGAUGCACUUCAAAUAGAGGUUCUGUUCAGUUAAAAUGUGAGCCUGACCAAAUGGAUGUAUUCUUUCCUACGUGAAUGAUGAGAUGAAAUUUUAUCAGUUCUGUUGUACAGGAAAGCAGAGCUAUUCAAUGCAUCACAUUUGCACUGAAAAGAAAGUUACAUAUCACCAUAGAAAAGAGGCACGGUAAUGCUUUCACUGGGUAUAAGCUAGGAAAGCUUCAGUCCUGCAAGUGAGUGACUGGUUUGCAGGAAGCAUCUCUCCAAACACCUGUUUGAAAGGAAGCUGAGAUGGGAAGAAAGCUCUGCCAGCGUAGAAAAUGUUCAAAUCUUGUUAGAUUCUGUUACAACCAGAUUUAAUGUGGAGAAGGUGGAGUCACUAAAAUAUCAUAGAAACCCAACACACAAAUUUCCUCAGAUAUUGUAUGCUUUUCAUAUUCUUGACCACCUGAUUUUAUUUAUUUAUGCAAUUUAUGUACUGCAACUCAUAGCUGCUUGUUAGCAUUCAUUUGGGGCACUGAAUUAGAAUCUUAUUCACAAACCCCUACAAACUGCUUAUGUUUCCUUAUAUCAGCAGACCUUCCAAUACCCGUAAGAUGUUUUCCAUCCUUUCCCUUCACAAGAACAGGGUCUUACAGUGGCAUAUUUUCUUUAUAAUGGAGACCCUGACAGAAGUGAGUGGCUGCAGAUGGGUCUGACUGAAAGGCUCUUCAGUGGAUUUUCCCAUCAGCCUUCUCCUCAACCAGUCCGUGAGCCACUUGUCCCCCAGUUAUUUUGAGGCAAGAAUGGGUUUGAGGAAAGGAGAAAGACAGACGAGAGCUGGAAGGAAUAUAAAAAUGCAAAAUGAAACACACAAGCAAAGGAGCAGGAUAAAGCACACAAGCAAAGGAGCAGGAGACAGAAGACCAACCUACAGUCCUUCCAACCUUCCUCCUGGGAGCCUCAGGGGGACCAGGCACUACAGGUUGGCAACAAGGUGAUUUUUCAAUAUGGGUUAAUGUCAGACAGUAACUUAAAAAGUAAGGAUCUAUCACACCCAAAGAGUUUCCACUUUAAAUGCAUGCUGAUCUCUCAACUAAACAUACUUUUUGCACUGAGGAAGCAAUCUGAGGACUUUUUUUUUUUUUUUUAAUAUAUAUAUUAUUUUAAUGUUGUUUCUCUGGAAAGACAGAAUACAGAUUUGUUGUUAAUGAGUAAAUUAAUCUAUUCUGGUUAAAUCCCAGAUUUGCUAUUGAUACUUUUUUAUAUUUCAAAUUCAAAGAAGGCCAAAAAUGAAUUUUAAAAUAUUAAUUGAUUAUUUUUCCUAUUAGUAGCUAAUGUCUAUAUAGAAAAUAAUCAUUUUAGUUCCAUCCAUUUUGAUGACCCAGAUGUUUUCCUAAUUGUACUAAAAUGAAUUCUUUAUUCUAAGAAGGCUCACACCCCAUAUAUUUCUUUCUAACUUCUCUUUUAAAGCAGGUAGAAUGAAGGGAAAGCAUAGCUGUUUUUUUGCACUUCCAUACUGGUUAUGACUGAAACUUGAAUCUUGGAUGCAAAAAAGUUAUAUGAAUACAAAACGUAAACAUUUAGAAAAGAUCUUGCAUAGGUUAAAAGAUCUACAGAGGGUUAACUCCGAUUUUUAUGAUGAAAGUAAAAUUGCUUUCAGCAUAAUCACCUAUAAAAUUCAUAUCCUAAAAUACACUGAUUUUCAGAUAGGUGAAAAUAUGCUCAAACACUGCCCAAACAGUAAGGUCCCGGAUGUUCAAAGUGCCCAGCGUUGGCCUAGUUUUUGAAGCAGAUGAGAAUAGACGCAGGCUUUUGAAAAUACACAUGCUAAAAAAACAGAUAUGCUUUUUUUUUUUUUUUUUUUUUUUUUUUUUUUUUAAUGUUACAGCAGAUAUUUAAAGAGAAUAAAAGAGCCUACAGAUUGCUUACCCCUAUUUUUGGCAUGAUCCAUUUACAGGCCACCACAAGGCAAACGAGAUAGUUACGUCAGAUAACAAAAACA
ensembl:lncRNA